UACGUAGGGGGCAAGCGUUGUCCGGAUUUAUUGGGCGUAAAGAGCGUGUAGGCGGCCUGGUAGGUCAGUUGUGAAAACUCGAGGCUCAACCUCGAGACGCCGAUUGAAACCACCAGGCUAGAGUCCGGAAGAGGAGAGUGGAAUUCCCGGUGUAGCGGUGAAAUGCGCAGAUAUCGGGAGGAACACCGGUGGCGAAGGCGGAUCUCUGGGCCGAUACUGACGCUGAGGAGCGAAAGCGUGGGGAGCGAACAGG
rnacentral:rRNA from 1 species